rnacentral:rRNA from 1 species
CAUUGGCGCCCAUCCAUAUUCAUGCAAGUCGAGCGAAUGGAUUAAGAGCUUGCUCUUAUGAAGUUAGCGGCGGACGGGUGAGUAACACGUGGGUAACCUGCCCAUAAGACUGGGAUAACUCCGGGAAACCGGGGCUAAUACCGGAUAACAUUUUGAACUGCAUGGUUCGAAAUUGAAAGGCGGCUUCGGCUGUCACUUAUGGAUGGACCCGCGUCGCAUUAGCUAGUUGGUGAGGUAACGGCUCACCAAGGCAACGAUGCGUAGCCGACCUGAGAGGGUGAUCGGCCACACUGGGACUGAGACACGGCCCAGACUCCUACGGGAGGCAGCAGUAGGGAAUCUUCCGCAAUGGACGAAAGUCUGACGGAGCAACGCCGCGUGAGUGAUGAAGGCUUUCGGGUCGUAAAACUCUGUUGUUAGGGAAGAACAAGUGCUAGUUGAAUAAGCUGGCACCUUGACGGUACCUAACCAGAAAGCCACGGCUAACUACGUGCCAGCAGCCGCGGUAAUACGUAGGUGGCAAGCGUUAUCCCGGAAUUAUUGGGCGUAAAGCGCGCGCAGGGUGGUUUCUUAAGUCUGAUGUGAAAGCCCACGGCUCAACCCGUGGAGGGUCAUUGGGAAACUGGGAGACUUGAGUGCAGAAGAGGAAAGUGGAAUUCCAUGUGUAGCGGUGAAAUGCGUAGAGAUAUGGAGGAACACCAGUGGCGAAGGCGACUUUCUGGCCUGUAACCUGACACUGAAGCGCGAAAGCGUGGGGAGCAAACAGGAUUAAGAUACCCCUGGUAGUCCACGCC